AGUCACUGACAUUAGAUACCCCCGUAGUCCUAGCCGUAAACGAUACUCGCUAGGUGUCGGCCACGGUGCGACCGUUGUCGGUGCCGUAGGGAAGCCGUGAAGCGAGCCACCUGGGAAGUACGGCCGCAAGGCUGAAACUUAAAGGAAUUGGCGGGGGAGCACCACAACGGGUGGAGCUUGCGGUUUAAUUGGAUUCAACGCCGGAAAUCUUACCGGGACCGACAGCAACAUGAAGGCCAGGCUGAAGACUUUGCCGGAUUAGCUG
rnacentral:rRNA from 1 species